CCCACGGGCUGCUGGGAGUUGUAGUUCAAACGCUGGGCUGCCGUCUGCUGAGGACUCUGAGAUCAGAGGAUUCCCGCUCACGUACGCACGAGGAACGAUUUGCAGUGGUCAGACCCCUUUAACCUUCCAGAGUUUCACAGAGUUUCGUGGUGGUCCAGAAUGUUGGCAAGUGAGGGUUCGAGGUGUGGACGUCUCUGCUGAAAGUAGAUGUGAAAUAACAUCAUUCCAACAAGGCCAUGUUCCUCUGUUCUACCCAGUUUGGCAAUAAAGACUUCUCCCAGACCUGCUACAUAACUCUUGUCAAUGCCUGAUGUGGCUGCAGACUGCCUGUUAAUUCUUCCCUCAGAGAAAAUCUUCCCCACACGUUGUGCUCUGAGAAACUUCGAUACCGGAACAUCUGACGGAGGGAGCUGUGAGAAAUGCUGAAUUGGCAGUGAUGUCUGGUGUGGUUAACAUCAUCUCUGUGUAGACUUCAGACCUGACUUAUAUUGCCUCGCGGUGGAGAUGACUGCCAGCGAUGUGGGUCUGACUUGACAGCAUGUGUAAGUUGCAUAGCCAGGGUCAAUCUCUUCCUGGAUUCUGAGCAGACUUCAGAGAGCUUUAAGCAAUGUGGACCUGUUGUAAGACCAGUGCGUGAUUAGAUCAGGGAUCUGUCCCUUGAUGUAGUCUUAAUCAUACAGGGGAAUCUGCACUGAACGCCAUUAUCCACCAUCACAAAGAUAUUUUAUCCUUUCUCUUGUUGGUGAGCGAACGUGAGUGGUGUGUGUGGAAGAUAGAAUCUCCAAUCAAUGGUCAUAGAGCAUGAGAGCUCAGAAGCAGGCCCAACUAGUCCGUGUCAAACUAUUAUUCUGUUAGUCUCAUUGACCUGUACCUGGACCUUUACCUUACAAAACCCUCCCAUCCGUGUAUUUAUCUGAACUUCUCUUAAAAGUUCCACAUCCACCACUUCCAUUGGCAGCUCAUUCCACACUUGCUCCAUCCUCUGAGUGAAGAAAUGCCCUCUCUAGUUUCCCUUCAAUGUUUCCCCUUUCAUCCCUAACCCAUGUCUACUAGUUCUAGUCUCUCCCAACCUCAGUGCAAGAAGCUUGUUUGUACUUACCCUUCCUACACCUCAUAAUUUUGUAUAUCAAAUCUUCCCCUCAUUCUCCUAUGCUCCAGGGAAUAAAGUCCUAACCUAUUCAAUCUUUUCCUCUAACUCAGCUCCUCAAGAUCUGGCAAUGUCCUUGAAAAUUUUCUCUGCACUCUUUCAAUCUUACUGAGAUCUUUCUUGUACAUAGGUGACCAAAACUGUACACAACUACUCCAAAUUAGACCUCACUAACAUCUUUUACAUCUUCAGCGUAACAUCCCAAAAUCCUGUAUUCAUUACUUUGAUUUUUGAAGACCAAUGUGCCCAAAGCUCUUUUUAUGAUCCAUUCCUUCCUUGGGGAUCUUCAUGAGAAUCCUCCUUUGAUGAGAGAAUCUCAUUAUUUUCCUACAGUGUUGAACUACACAAUGUCACUCUGCCACAUUGUCCGUGACCCUCUCACCUUCCUGUUUUUGUAGUGUGCCUAAUCGGCCUCCUGGCCCUCCUGCUGGCUGGGAGCACUGGCUUUCGGUGAGCUUUUGGAGCCCAUUAUCGUGGGCUGUCCUCUGGAGCGUAUUCCCGGACCUGUGCUGGCAAUGGGAUCUCAUCCAGUGAAGGCUGCUGGCUUUCCCAGUUUCUAAGUGUAGCCUCCGUGCCCCCAAUUGACCCCCGUUCGCCAAGGGUAAACCGCUGUCGCCCCGCCAGUUGUGCAAUACUUCUGUGUAAAUACGAUGUAAUGCCCCCCCCAGUACGCGCUCACAAUACAAAUACCAGACAAUAACCAAAAGUGAGUAAAUAAUUGCAACUUUAUAGUGAUUUCUUAGUGAUGUGUUAGUAGAAACAGAUAACCUAAAGGUGCCAAAGUAAUAAUCAGUUUAUCAGUUUGUGCACAUAUUUUAAUAUGUUGGAGCUCACGCCUCCGGUUAUCUUCCACAACGACCUACUGAGCCUUCAGCCACCGUCCGAACCGCCGACGUCCAGUAUCCAUCACCCUGGGACCGCUGCCCGCUUCACACUCCUCGCUGUCCGUCCUCCUCGCUCUCCUCCCGAAAAUGACCGCAAACUCCCGCUCAGCUUACACAGACAAGAUAGCAUAACAAUUCUCCAUUGGUUAGUUUUCCCCUUAUCAAUACCCAUAACCCAAACAUAUGAGACACGGGAUCCCAUUAAAGCAUUACAGAGAAGCCAUUUCGUUAUAAAAUACAGAGAAGCCAUUUUGUUAGCCUGAACAGUUAACACCGCGCCUACUGGUACUAAGAACCCUACAUAAGCGUUGGUUCAUGUGGUGGAGAUGCUCAGGUACAGCAGUCAAUGUACACAUGUCAGAGUGUGGAACCACUGGCUAUUCUUUAUAUCAUACAGGCUGUACUGUUCAUCAAACUCAGCAACAGAGCAUAAACAGCUCCCAAGGAAACUGUCACUGAUCAUAAGAAAGCUUUCCUUGGGGUCAGUGACUACCUUAGGGGUAGAUAUUGCUUCUAUUCAAGAGGAGCUGGGGUAUUUUUGGGACAGCGUGCCUGGCCCUAUGAUUGUAGAUGAAGAACGAUUCACAAAGCAUCUUUACUUUCUUAGGAGGUUAAGGAGAUUCAGCUUGUCGUUGAACUCUGUAACAAACUUCUACAGAUGGACCAUUGAAAGUAUCCUGAAUGAUUGCAGGUCUGGCAAUUCGAAUACACAGGAAUGUAAGAAUCCGCAGAGAGCAGUGGAUUCUGCCCAAUACAUUGUGGCACAUGACUCCCCACCCUCAGUGGCAUUUACAGGAGGUGCUGUUUCAAGAAGACAACAUCACAUUCCAAAGACAUAGGUUAAUUGGUCAUUGUAAAUCGUCCUGGGGUUAAAUCGGGGGUUGCUGGGCGGUGAAGUUUGACGAGUCAGAAGGGUCUACUCUGUGCUGUAUCUCAAUUAAUUAAUUAAUCCAUCGUCAGAUGGUCCACCACUCAGGCCAUGCCAUCUUCUCACAGUUCCCACUGGGCAGGGGGUACAGAAGCAUGAAGUCCUUCGCCACCAGCUUGAGGAACAGCUUCCUUCCUUAAACCGUUCAGUCCCUGAACCAACUGGCAAAAUCCUAAUCACUGCCUCAGUCAAGCAAUACUGACCACUUUGAUCACUUUGCAAUGCGGUGCUCUUGGUGGUUUGAAUUGUGUUCUUUCCUUUAAAAUUGUGCAUAAUUUAUGAAUAAAUAAUGUUUUUCUUGUGAAUGCUGCUUAUAUGACGCUACGUGCCUGUGAUUCAAGAUUGUUUAAUGUCAUUUCCAGCAUGCAAGUGUAAAGCACAACAAAAUAUUUGUUAUUCUGGUUCUGAUGUAGUACAAAU